rnacentral:rRNA from 1 species
UACGUAGGGUGCGAGCGUUGUCCGGAAUUAUUGGGCGUAAAGAGCUCGUAGGCGGUCUGUCGCGUCUGCUGUGAAAACUCAGGGCUUAACCCUGAGCUUGCAGUGGGUACGGGCAGACUAGAGUGCGGUAGGGGAGACUGGAAUUCCUGGUGUAGCGGUGAAAUGCGUAGAUAUCAGGAGGAACACCGGUGGUGCAGACGGCUCUCUGGACCGUAACUGACGCUGAGACACGAAAGCGUGGGUAGCAAACAGG